rnacentral:lncRNA from 1 species
CGCUAUCUUCACAGGAUGGUAUGAAAUACUGGUUAUGUUCAGUAAAACAUCAACGCCAAAACAGAGGUCCAUGACUGCUGGCUGCAGCCUCCUUGUGCCGGUGCAGCCAUGACUGAUAAGCAGUGGGUCUCCUUGUGCCAUUGAAUUACUUGUAUAAAAUGAAGAACCUGGAAGUUGCAAUGUCAUGGUGCUCUCCCUUACCAAAAGCAAAACAAAACAAAACAAAAACCCAAAACUUGAUGGACUGUAGUGACGUCAGGGUUUGAAAUUCUUUUAUUGAUUGCACCUCUUGCUAAUUCUAAGAUUAGUCUGUGUGGCCAAAACUGGCCAGCUAUUUAUCAAACCCGUUUCCUUUUCUUCCGGGGCACAGUGCUGCAUUGUAUUUUUCCAGUUAAUCCUGCACCUAGAUUCAGCACCAUGAGCGUGUUCUGCCCAGUCAUAUGUAAGCGGAAGUAAUGGGUGCUUUCUGGGCCUGGCCCAUCCAAACCACCUGUUCAAAAUUCUUUGUACUGUUUCUCCUUCUGCUGAAUUGACGGGGAUGCAUGCCGUUCUUGUUGAAGACAGAACAAUUCAAAAGAAGGAGCUCAGGUCCUGGAAUCACUGAGGGGAGGAGAGCAAUGAUCGUGAACGUGUGAGCUUGUGUGUGCAAGAAGUAAAUUUCUCCUGCAUUGGAGCCAUUGUAGGUUUUGAGGUUUGUUUGUCCCAAUAGAGUUUGUCAUCCUAAUUGCAUUGGCUAAUUUCAUUCAUCUUGAUUAGAAAAUAGGAUCUCCAGGAAGCACUUGAAAGUUCCAAGAAGAACAGAAAUUCUGAACUGAAGUUCUAGAAGCUUCCCUUAGUGGAUGACGAUGUAUGCGUGGGAGCAACAUGGAUGACAGAGACUGAUAAGGUUGAGUCAGGGUCUGCCAUUUCAAAUAAUGACGUUACCACCUGGUUGUGUCUCAAGCCAAAAAUCUGGGAGGCAUUCUUGAUUCUCCCCAUUCCUGAAUGCCAUGUCAGCCUCAUCAGUGAGUCUUGUCUACUGUGUCUCCAAAACAUACCCCAUGUGUGUCCACUUCUCUCUACUUCCAGUGUUGCCAAGGCUGAGCCGCCCUCAUCUCUCACCCAGAUGUGGCUGCAGUAGCUCCUCAGUGAUCUGCCUGCUGUCACUCUCACCUCUAGAACCUGUUCUCCAUGUAGCAGCCAGCAUGAACCCGUUCUCCAUGUAGCAGCCAGCAUGAUCAUAAAAAAAUAUAACUUCACCUGUCUCUCACCUGAAAACCUUCUGAUAAUUUCUUACCAAAUGUAGAAUAAACACACCCUGUUUGAACAUUUGUUUUCAUGGUGCCUUAGUCUGUUUGGGCCGCC